rnacentral:rRNA from 1 species
CUUCCUUAUUUUAUUAUUGCAUGAAAUAGGUACUUAAUCCAACAUCGAGGUCACAAACUUUCUUGAUGAUAAGAACUCUUUAAGAAAAUUAUGCUGUUAUCCCUAUAGUAACUUGUUCUUUUUUAAAAACUUUUUGGUUUUUCAAGAGUUAUUCUCAUAUUAUUAAAAUAAAAUUUUAUUUAUUUACUGCCCCAGUAGAAUAAUUUGUGAUUUAUAUUGAUGUUAAAUUGGAAUUAUAAAGCUUAAUAGGGUCUUCUUGUCUUUAAAGUAAAUUUUAGCCUUUUUACUAGAAUGUAAAAUUUGAAGUAUAAUAAUAAGACAGGAUUAUUUAGUUAAACCAUUCAUUCCAGUCCUAAAUUACAAG